ACGACAGCGCGCCCACCCCGUCCGCCCUCUCGUCCAAUGGCAGACGUGCAUUUUUAUCAAGCUAUCUCCUCGGAGCCAAUUCCGGUGCUCCCAGUGAUCCCUGUAAACCGGAGGCCCUCCCUCCUGCCUCUCCAACAGACGUAAUGUGUGGAUCAGAAAGACAGGCGCUCAGUCGGUGGAGAGUUGGACUCGGACGGAAGUGAUGAGAGUAAAAAAAUAAGGCACUGGAGCACACUUUGAAGAAAUCGCAUCAGUCCGAAAUCGACAGGAGAGUGAAUCCUGCUGUUGGACAAGCAGGAGCUGGAGGGAAAUGAUGUUUCACUUUGUGCCCCUGAUGUGACUCCCUGAAGAACAUCUCCAUCAGAUGCUGUCGUGGAUGAUUCUGCACAGAAGAUGACAGACUUGAGUUCCUCUGAUUAACGAGGAGGUGGUAAUGAAAUAAAGCAGAUCUUCUCAGUUUCAGUUCCAGGUAUAAACACACAGUAUGAUCAUGUAAAACAUAACCAGAGCCAUGUUGCCUUGUGGAAAGUGGGCACUGCUACUGUCCUGUGUCAUCUUGUCCCAGUGGCCUGAGCAAUGUCCUCCACUGUCCUUCCUCUUUCUUCGCCCUGCCCUUGUCUGUUAGUUCAUCUCUCGGUCACAUCUGCUGUCCUGCUUGCCUCGGCGAACAUUCAACGCUGUCGGUGAGUUUGGUAUGGAUCACAUAAAAACCAUCGACCGUUGACUGUGCCCCGCGGCUCGCCUGCUCCGUCGACGUCAAGACUGAACCCCAAAAAAUAUGAACAAAAGGGCAAGUGGGCGCAUGCAAAUCUAAAGGCAAAGACGCACACAUGCAGAAAAAGUGACACUCUGUUUCCACUGUACCCAAAAGACCAAAGGUCACAAUCAACAUUCAUUGCUGUCGCUGGGUUGGACUGUGUAGAAAAGCUCACUGAACAAUGAGUGCAACUGUGGCCCAGAUCUGCCUGACUUGUGUCCCAGCCAAUCAGUCGACCGGAUGUGAAACAUUCUGAUUUUUUUAUUUAUAUACUUCUUGUUUUUCACUUCUAUUUUCUCCUCUCUUCCUCCCUCCCUGGCGCUGGGAGUCUUCAGGGGAAGAGGGAGAGAGAAAGAGAGAGAGACACAAAUAGACUUCUGGCUGCUUUGCUUGUCCUCAUCCUCCUCUUUUCUCCUCUAAUUGGUGGUUAUGUGUGCAGCAAGGGGGAAGGAAGCGGAGUGAAUGUGUAAUCAUUUGGAGUCUCUUCUCCUUUAGAUGUUUCAUCCCUCUCUUUUUUGUUUGUCUAAUUAUAUACCAAGCUCGGUUAACUCUGUGUUAACUGUGCUGGCAAGAAUGAGCGAGCGACAAAGAGAGGCUGGACGAGGGGAACAAAAAAGGCGGAAAGAUGAAACCACCAGCGAAGAGACGAUGUAGUUUUUAGUAUAUUCUUUAAAAUAUUCUCCAUGAUGUUGGUGCAUAUGUACCGGGAUAUAAGGUGUUCAAAUACAGAAAGGAUAUUCACCUUUCCGUGUCUCAUUAUCUGUGUGUGACUUUUAUAAGAAACAGUGUGGUUUCCUCUCUUCCUCUGUGUGUAUGUAUGUGUGUAUGUAUGUGUGUUUGUGUGUGUGUUUGUGCACGUACGCCAUGACAGAGAGCCUGUGGGCUGAUCUCAGGAUGCAAUAUGUUAUUUUCUUUCUGUACUGAAGCAGACUGCUCCCUCAUGGGAAAACACAUAGUCUAUAACCUUGUCUGCCUUCAGACAGUCUGGGACCGGCCUUGCUGCUGCCAUUUCUCAUUGAUCUCAUGUGAAAAAUAUGCGUUUAAAAAGUGUAAAAUGAGUGCUGUGUCAAGGUAUUGUAUAUUUUGGAUAAAGGUUUCGCUGAUUGGUUCAGUUGUUCAAUAAAGUUAACUCACAAUCCAAA